AGUUCCGGUACUUGGGGCUACUACAAGUAACAAAGUAUUGCGUUGCAGAGGUGGCCAAAAACAGCUUCGCAACCGUGACCACGAUGGCUCUUUGCACCGUUUUUGUAUCAGAUGCCUCGGCUCCGCCACCGCCCGAAUCCCCUUUUUCUUUUGUCUUGCAGGUGGAUUGGCACACACCUCCGCCACAGGAUCAGUACCCCCUCCACCACCUCUGAAAUAUAGACGCGCGGGGACGCUUCAUCGAUCGGACUUUUGCAGCAAAUUAGGGUUUCGAGC
rnacentral:lncRNA from 1 species